GCGUGUAUGAAGAAGGCCUUCGGGUUGUAAAGUACUUUCAGCAGUGAGGAAGGUUCAUGCGUUAAUAGCGUAUGGAUUUGACGUUAGCUGCAGAAGAAGCACCGGCUAACUCCGUGCCAGCAGCCGCGGUAAUACGGAGGGUGCGAGCGUUAAUCGGAAUUACUGGGCGUAAAGCGCAUGCAGGUGGUUUGUUAAGUCAGAUGUGAAAGCCCGGGGCUCAACCUCGGAAUUGCAUUUGAAACUGGCAGACUAGAGUACUGUAGAGGGGGGUAGAAUUUCAGGUGUAGCGGUGAAAUGCGUAGAGAUCUGAAGGAAUACCGGUGGCGAAGGCGGCCCCCUGGACAGAUACUGACACUCAGAUGCGAAAGCGUGGGGAGCAAACAGGAUUAGAUACCCUGGUAGUCCACGCCGUAAACGAUGUCUACUUGGAGGUUGU
rnacentral:rRNA from 1 species